rnacentral:lncRNA from 1 species
GAUAUUUCCAUCGAUAUUUCCGUGUUUUCGGACUACCGAUAUUUCCGAUAUUACUGAUAUUUUCUUCCUUGGUAUUAAAUAAAGCUUAAUAAAGCUUACGUAUAGUAAAAACUCACUUUUAUUCAUUAUAUUCUAUUCAGUCUCACUUUAUCUCUUGUACUAAUUUUUUUUUUUGUUUCAUAUUACCCCAUUUCAUUAAGUGGAUUGAAAGAAACAUUAGUUUCGCUGAUGUAGAGUCACUUUGUCUUUUCAGCAAUAAUAAGGAUAGGUUAAAAAAAGGGAAGUGUUAUUGGUAUUUUAAAAAUCUCAUUAUAUACUCCUCACAAGUGUAUUUUCCUUUAUAAAUAUAGAAAGUUUGGAAUGUAGAAUAAGAAUUUUGAAGUGCCAAUAAUAAUUCUCUAAAAAAAGUAUGAGUUUUAAUAACAAGAUAACUAGAAAGUUAAAUCAUUUAGGGUUUUCCAAAGAAUUUGGGGGUAUUUUUUAUAGGGGUGUUUUGGUAUUUUAAUUUUCGUUCUAAUGUGAUUUUUGUGGUUUUGGAUGUAGAUGUGAAAGCAAGGGUGUAAAAUCAAAGAACCCCUUCAAUUAGCGAAACUUCCUGCCCCUUUCAACCUAUCUGUCAAAAUUGAUUAAGUGAGGCACAAAUGAUGAGCGCAAGGGGCAUAGUGAAACAUAUGAUACGCUGAUAGUUAUAUCACUUAAAAAUAAUCUUUGUGACAAUUGAUGUGAAUAAUCACAUAUAUUAAAAAAUUAUAAAUGUUAGUAUUUCAUUAAUUAAAAGUUCAGAAGUCAACCAAUCACUAAUUUUUUUAGAUUCUCCCGUUGCUGCCUCCUCCCUCUCUUUUCACUUUCUUUUUUUAGUUUUUCAAUUGUUAUCUAUGUUGUAGGCAUAAUUUACUGAACAAGUAUAGAGGCAAAAAAGAGAAGGUGCGGCAUAGAGAGAAAAGAUAGAGAUGUGUAUUUGUGAGGUGUGUUCUAUUCCACCUUAUUGUACUUUUAUUUAUAGUAGUAGGAUAAGUAAAAUAUUUACCCUUUUAGGAUUACAACUCUUAAUAGGUAAUCAACUCCUAAUAAGAAUAUAAGAGAUAUUCCUAGAUCUACUAGGAUUUACACAAUCACAUUUCUAAUCUAAUAGGACUGCAACACUCCCCAUUGAGU